rnacentral:tRNA from 1 species
GGAGCGUUGGAGGAGUCAGGCCGUCCUCGGUGCACUGUCUAUGCACACAUCACGGGUUCGAAUCCCGUACGCUCCGCCA